GUCCAGCAGACAAGUCUUAAAUAGGACUAAACGCACGUCCUGGAA
rfam:Schistosoma curassoni strain Dakar, Senegal genome assembly, scaffold: SCTD_scaffold0002446